rnacentral:rRNA from 1 species
UACGUAGGUGACCAGCGUUGUCCGGAUUUACUGGGCGUAAAGAGCGCGCAGGCGGUCGUUCAAGUCGAGUGUGAAAGCCCCCGGCUCAACUGGGGAGGGUCACUCGAUACUGAUCGACUUGAAGGCAGGAGAGGGAAGCGGAAUUCCCGGUGUAGUGGUGAAAUGCGUAGAUAUCGGGAGGAACACCAGUGGCGAAGGCGGCUUCCUGGCCUGUUCUUGACGCUGAGGAGCGAAAGCGUGGGGAGCAAACAGG